GACGAACGCUGGCGGCGUGCUUAACACAUGCAAGUCGAACGGAAAGGCCCUGCUUUUGUGGGGUGCUCGAGUGGCGAACGGGUGAGUAACACGUGAGUAACCUGCCCUUGACUUUGGGAUAACUUCAGGAAACUGGGGCUAAUACCGGAUAGGAGCUCCUGCUGCAUGGUGGGGGUUGGAAAGUUUCGGCGGUUGGGGAUGGACUCGCGGCUUAUCAGCUUGUUGGUGGGGUAGUGGCUUACCAAGGCUUUGACGGGUAGCCGGCCUGAGAGGGUGACCGGCCACAUUGGGACUGAGAUACGGCUCAGACUCCUACGGGAGGCAGCAGGGGGGAAUAUGGCACAAUGGGCGGAAGCCUGAUGCAGCAACGCCGCGUGCGGGAUGACGGCCUUCGGGUUGUAAACCGCUUUCGCCUGUGACGAAGCGUGAGUGGCGGUAAUGGGUAAAGAAGCACCGGCUAACUACGUG
rnacentral:rRNA from 1 species